UAAGUAAGAAGCAAUUAUGCAUUUAAUUUCGACUUAAAAGACAGAGUAUUUAACUCCUUACUUAUU
rnacentral:tRNA from 1 species